UCCCUGGUGGCCUAGUGGUUAAAGACUCUGCGUUAUCACUGCUGUGGCUCAGGUUCAGUCCUGGCCUGGGAA
rfam:Sus scrofa chromosome 8.